GGAGGGGUGCCCGAGUGGCUAAAGGGGACGGACUGUAAAUCCGUUGGCAACGCCUACGUUGGUUCAAAUCCAACCCCCUCCACCA
rnacentral:tRNA from 1 species